rnacentral:rRNA from 1 species
AUUGAACGCUGGCGGAAUGCUUUACACAUGCAAGUCGAACGGUAGAGGGGGCAACCCCUCGAGAGUGGCGAACGGGUGAGUAAUAUAUCGGAACGUGCCCAGUCGUGGGGGAUAACGUAGCGAAAGUUACGCUAAUACCGCAUACGAUCUAAGGAUGAAAGCGGGGGAUCGCAAGACCUCGCGCGAUUGGAGCGGCCGAUAUCAGAUUAGGUAGUUGGUGGGGUAAAGGCUCACCAAGCCAACGAUCUGUAGCUGGUCUGAGAGGACGACCAGCCACACUGGAACUGAGACACGGUCAGACUCCUACGGGAGGCAGCAGUGGGGAAUUUUGGGCAAUGGACGCAAGUCUGAUCCAGCCAUUCCGCGUGCAGGAUGAAGGCCCUCGGGUUGUAAACUGCCUUUGUACGGAACGAAAAGGUCUCUCUUAAUACGGGGGACUCAUGACGGUACCGUAAGAAUAAGCACCGGCUAACUACGUGCCAGCCGCCGCCGUAAGAC